UGCAUUUUUUCGGUUUUUGCGGGAAAAUGUGUGUUUUCCAGUUUUGGUGGAAAAAUGUAUUUUGCAAUUUUUGGCGACAAAGUGUGUUUUUACUGUGUUGGCGGGAAAGUAUGAUUUUCGGUUUUAGUGCGGUUCAAGAUUUUGGCGGGAAAGUGUAUUUUUACCGUUUUAGCCGAAAAGUGUGGGUUACUAGUUUGGCCGAAAUGUAUGUUUUAUGGAAAUGUGCAUUUUUACGCUUUUUGGGGAAAAACGUAUUUUUGUGGUUUUGGCGAAAAGUGUGUCAGUUUUGGCGAGAAAAUGCAUUUUUCGGUUUUGACGGAAAAAUGUAUAUGGGAAAAUAUAGGAUUUUUGGUUCGAAAAUAAUAUUUUAAUUUUAAGAAGUUAUUUUGCCAUUUAUCAUUUUAUACUUAACUAGAUGCACUUGCAUGCAGAUGCACCAUCAAAAUUCAUCCUCAUUUGGGUGAAAAAUUGAAAUGAGUUUUUAAAAUUCAGCUGGAUGAGCAAAAGAACAGCACCUUAUUGGAAAUGGUCAUAACAAUUUCUUAAGAUUAAGAAGGUAGUGGUGGAUAUGUGGCUAGGAUAGAUCAGAUAAACACAUGUGGGCAAGAGAACUGAUUGAAACUCGCGCAAAUCAAGUCCAUGUGGUUGUUGUUUGGACACGGGGAAUGUCAUUCUUCUUGUUCUUUUAUUUUUUCUAAGAUGAGAGUGUCAUUAUUCUUGUGACAUGCUAACAUGUACUGUUGGCAGAAAAGUACAAGAGUUGAGAAGUAUAAUAUUUCGAUUAAUUAAACCGAAUUAACUAGUACUGGAAACCAAAGAGAAUAUUGGGCUUAGGAUUGGAUCGGCAGAUCGGAUUGUCGUAGAAUUUAUAAGUGCAUGCGUUUGCGUUUGGGUUUGUACAAAGAUAUUUGUCGAUAUAAUCACCCGCGUGAAUAUAAAGAGAGUUGUAUCAGUAUUUAGUUGCUUAAUGUUUGAAUCCUCAGUGUAAAUUUAUCUUAUCUAUUUGCAUCUUACAGAAGCAACACAUUAUACUCUAAAACUAUUAUGCUCUCCCCAGGCCCGAUCUUAUGUAUUUGGAUUCCUAAAGGACGAAAUUUGUUUUUACCCAUAAAUCAUUACACCAAAAAAUUUGAUGCCCUACAAUUUUUCUAUAAUUUUUUUUACAAAUUUUAGCACCUAAAAUGGGUGCUCGUGAGCUUUAACUCCUAUCUGUCCCUCUGGUAUUUGAUCGGUGCAGGGACAUCUGUAUGUCGCAGAGUCGUUUGUGCAAUAUUCUGUGAAUCGUGGGAAGGUGAUAAUACUUAUGGUAGAAGCCACUAAGAGCAUUAAUAUCGCAGGCGCUUAAUAGGGUUGCUAAGAUAAUUAUGAUUUAAAAGAAAAUAAAAAUUACCUAUUAAUGCAAGAGGCGCUGCUUAAUUAAGCAUUACAAGAGUCGCUGCUUAUGGGACACACGUCGACAAAGUAUUUCUCUCUCUCAUCUCUCUUUCUCUCCUCAAAGGAGGAACCGAACCUCUUCUUGAUCAAGCUGUUGAUCCACCACCACUGGAGAAGGAGGAGGAUAACGAUCCGGCUCCGGCUCUUUGACCUUGGGGAUGUGAUCCAGUGCAGAGAGUGUGGCUACCGUUAUUGUUGAUGGUACUAAGAGCUUUUGCUAUUAUUGGUCUUGUUCAAGCUCAGGAUCAAGAAGGUAUCCACUUCUUAUGUUAAUGUUUUGUGUCUUGAAAUACUUCUACUCUUUAUGAUUCAUGUCUCUUGUCAUGACUACGAUGCUAUUACUUGUGUUCUUGUGAACUUUUGUAGAGUGUGUUUGAAAUAUUUUGUGUCUCAA